GGCAGUGCCCGGGUGAGGGGCAGGAAUGUCUCUGCCCGAGUGAGGGCGGAGGGCCCUGCCCCGAGUGAGAGACGGGAACGGCACUGCCCGGAUGAGGGCUGAGGGCACUGCCCGGGUGAAGGCACUUCCCUGGAAAUUACCAAAGAGUUCAAAGCUGCACUGGUGCCCUUCACCAGACUGCACAGCAGCAUCCAUCUGCCCAGGAGCACCUGAGGACACCGAGGCACCAGGAGCACCUUCAUUCACAGCAGUGGAUCACGCAGCUCCAUUUCACUACCAGAACAUCCUCCAGCUGGACAGCAAACCCCUACCCUUAGGAAAACCUUGAUUGUGCCAGAAUUUCUGUCUAGCUCACUGUGAUUAAUAGACCUUGGACUGUAAGGAGGGAGUAUGGAUAUCAUAAAUAUCACACUUCAUAAGGAAGGUUAAUUUUCAGACUAUCCAGAAGCAAUCUAGAAGUUGUAGGCAGGCUGAAAAUUAAGAUAAUUCUCCCAACAGUGCCAGCAAAAUAACUUAUGGAGCAAUGUUUUCCCUAGGGAGCUCACAUGUAAGUGCCUAACCUAAGACUCUUAAAGUAAUCAUCUUAUCAGCCCUUACUAUGUCAUCCUGUGCCCUAAAGA